rnacentral:lncRNA from 1 species
AUAGUUCCUUGUUUCUAGUAUUUAUAGAGGUGAGUAUGAGAAUCUUCAUGAUUGAGAUUACAAGAUUAUUGGGUGAGCAGCUUAUCGGGAGAGCAAUGAUUUGAGCGCUUGCUUUAUUUUCUAGUCAGUUAUGAUAUGUCUUUCUAGGCAUAUAAAGAUUGUGCUGGGUUGCAACUAUUUGCUAAUUAUUUUGAGAUUUAAUUAUCUCAUGCCCCAGACCCG